UACGUAGGGGGCUAGCGUUGUCCGGAAUUACUGGGCGUAAAGCGUGCGCAGGCGGUUUUGUAAGUCUGUCGUGAAAUCCCCGGGCUCAACCUGGGAAUUGCGAUGGAGACUGCAAGGCUAGAAUCUGGCAGAGGGGGGGUAGAAUUCCACGUGUAGCAGUGAAAUGCGUAGAGAUGUGGAGGAACACCGAUGGCGAAGGCAGCCCCCUGGGUCAAGAUUGACGCUCAUGCACGAAAGCGUGGGGAGCAAACAGG
rnacentral:rRNA from 1 species